UCUCCGUUGGUGAACCAGCGGAGGGAUCAUUACCGAGUGCAAACUCAUAACCCUUUGUGAACCUAUAUCUGUUGCUUCGGCGGCUCGCUCUCGGGCGAGCCCGCCGGUAAUAUCAGUAUCUCUGUUUGAACCCGACGAUACUUCUGAGUGUUCUUAGCGAACAGUUAAAACUUUUAACAACGGAUCUCUCGGCUCUAGCAUCGGAUGAAGAACGCAGC
rnacentral:misc_RNA from 1 species